AGAACGAACGCUGGCGGCGUGGUUAAGACAUGCAAGUCGAACGGAUUAGUUUUGUAGCAAUACCGAACUGGUUAGUGGCGAACGGGUGCGUAACACGUGGAUACAUUGGAGAAGCGGGGAAUAGCCCAGGGAAACUUGGAUUAAUGCCGCAUGUGGCCGAAGGGCCAAAGACGGGGACCGCAAGGCCUGUCACUUCUCUGUUGGUCUGCGGCCUAUCAGCUAGUUGGUGAGGUAAAGGCUCACCAAGGCGACGACGGGUAGCUGGUCUGAGAGGACGACCAGCCACACUGGAACUGAGACACGGUCCAGACACCUACGGUGGCAGCAGUCGAGAAUCUUUCACAAU
rnacentral:rRNA from 1 species